rnacentral:rRNA from 1 species
ACUAAGCGUACACGGUGGAUGCCCUGGCAGUCAGAGGCGAUGAAGGACGUGCUAAUCUGCGAUAAGCGUCGGUGAGGUGAUAUGAACCGUUAUAACCGGCGAUUUCCGAAUGGGGAAACCCAGUGUGUUUCGACACACUAUCAUUAACUGAAUCCAUAGGUUAAUGAGGCGAACCGGGGGAACUGAAACAUCUAAGUACCCCGAGGAAAAGAAAUCAACCGAGAUUCCCCCAGUAGCGGCGAGCGAACGGGGAGGAGCCCAGAGCCUGAAUCAGUGUGUGUGUUAGUGGAAGCGUCUGGAAAGGCGUGCGAUACAGGGUGACAGCCCCGUACACAAAAAUGCACAUAUUGUGAGCUCGAUGAGUAGGGCGGGACACGUGGUAUCCUGUCUGAAUAUGGGGGGACCAUCCUCCAAGGCUAAAUACUCCUGACUGACCGAUAGUGAACCAGUACCGUGAGGGAAAGGCGAAAAGAACCCCGGCGAGGGGAGUGAAAAAGAACCUGAAACCGUGUACGUACAAGCAGUGGGAGCCUCUUAAUGGGGUGACUGCGUACCUUUUGUAUAAUGGGUCAGCGACUUAUAUUCUGUAGCAAGGUUAACCGAAUAGGGGAGCCGAAGGGAAACCGAGUCUUAACUGGGCGUUAAGUUGCAGGGUAUAGACCCGAAACCCGGUGAUCUAGCCAUGGGCAGGUUGAAGGUUGGGUAACACUAACUGGAGGACCGAACCGACUAAUGUUGAAAAAUUAGCGGAUGACUUGUGGCUGGGGGUGAAAGGCCAAUCAAACCGGGAGAUAGCUGGUUCUCCCCGAAAGCUAUUUAGGUAGCGCCUCGUGAAUUCAUCUCCGGGGGUAGAGCACUGUUUCGGCAAGGGGGUCAUCCCGACUUACCAACCCGAUGCAAACUGCGAAUACCGGAGAAUGUUAUCACGGGAGACACACGGCGGGUGCUAACGUCCGUCGUGAAGAGGGAAACAACCCAGACCGCCAGCUAAGGUCCCAAAGUCAUGGUUAAGUGGGAAACGAUGUGGGAAGGCCCAGACAGCCAGGAUGUUGGCUUAGAAGCAGCCAUCAUUUAAAGAAAGCGUAAUAGCUCACUGGUCGAGUCGGCCUGCGCGGAAGAUGUAACGGGGCUAAACCAUGCACCGAAGCUGCGGCAGCGACACUAUGUGUUGUUGGGUAGGGGAGCGUUCUGUAAGCCUGUGAAGGUGGCCUGUGAGGGUUGCUGGAGGUAUCAGAAGUGCGAAUGCUGACAUAAGUAACGAUAAAGCGGGUGAAAAGCCCGCUCGCCGGAAGACCAAGGGUUCCUGUCCAACGUUAAUCGGGGCAGGGUGAGUCGACCCCUAAGGCGAGGCCGAAAGGCGUAGUCGAUGGGAAACAGGUUAAUAUUCCUGUACUUGGUGUUACUGCGAAGGGGGGACGGAGAAGGCUAUGUUGGCCGGGCGACGGUUGUCCCGGUUUAAGCGUGUAGGCUGGUUUUCCAGGCAAAUCCGGAAAACCAAGGCUGAGGCGUGAUGACGAGGCACUACGGUGCUGAAGUGACAAAUGCCCUGCUUCCAGGAAAAGCCUCUAAGCAUCAGGUAACAUCAAAUCGUACCCCAAACCGACACAGGUGGUCAGGUAGAGAAUACCAAGGCGCUUGAGAGAACUCGGGUGAAGGAACUAGGCAAAAUGGUGCCGUAACUUCGGGAGAAGGCACGCUGAUAUGUAGGUGAAGCGACUUGCUCGUGGAGCUGAAAUCAGUCGAAGAUACCAGCUGGCUGCAACUGUUUAUUAAAAACACAGCACUGUGCAAACACGAAAGUGGACGUAUACGGUGUGACGCCUGCCCGGUGCCGGAAGGUUAAUUGAUGGGGUUAGCGGUAACGCGAAGCUCUUGAUCGAAGCCCCGGUAAACGGCGGCCGUAACUAUAACGGUCCUAAGGUAGCGAAAUUCCUUGUCGGGUAAGUUCCGACCUGCACGAAUGGCGUAAUGAUGGCCAGGCUGUCUCCACCCGAGACUCAGUGAAAUUGAACUCGCUGUGAAGAUGCAGUGUACCCGCGGCAAGACGGAAAGACCCCGUGAACCUUUACUAUAGCUUGACACUGAACAUUGAGCCUUGAUGUGUAGGAUAGGUGGGAGGCUUUGAAGUGUGGACGCCAGUCUGCAUGGAGCCGACCUUGAAAUACCACCCUUUAAUGUUUGAUGUUCUAACGUUGGCCCGUAAUCCGGGUUGCGGACAGUGUCUGGUGGGUAGUUUGACUGGGGCGGUCUCCUCCUAAAGAGUAACGGAGGAGCACGAAGGUUGGCUAAUCCUGGUCGGACAUCAGGAGGUUAGUGCAAUGGCAUAAGCCAGCUUGACUGCGAGCGUGACGGCGCGAGCAGGUGCGAAAGCAGGUCAUAGUGAUCCGGUGGUUCUGAAUGGAAGGGCCAUCGCUCAACGGAUAAAAGGUACUCCGGGGAUAACAGGCUGAUACCGCCCAAGAGUUCAUAUCGACGGCGGUGUUUGGCACCUCGAUGUCGGCUCAUCACAUCCUGGGGCUGAAGUAGGUCCCAAGGGUAUGGCUGUUCGCCAUUUAAAGUGGUACGCGAGCUGGGUUUAGAACGUCGUGAGACAGUUCGGUCCCUAUCUGCCGUGGGCGCUGGAGAACUGAGGGGGGCUGCUCCUAGUACGAGAGGACCGGAGUGGACGCAUCACUGGUGUUCGGGUUGUCAUGCCAAUGGCACUGCCCGGUAGCUAAAUGCGGAAGAGAUAAGUGCUGAAAGCAUCUAAGCACGAAACUUGCCCCGAGAUGAGUUCUCCCUGAGACUUAGAGUCUCCUGAAGGAACGUUGAAGACGACGACGUUGAUAGGCCGGGUGUGUAAGCGCAGCGAUGCGUUGAGCUAACCGGUACUAAUGAACCGUGAGGCUUAACC